rnacentral:lncRNA from 1 species
UGGCAUACGGAAGUUCCCAGGCCAGGGAUCAAAUCUGAGCUACAGCUGGGGCUACUCCGCAGGUGCAGCAAUGCCAGAUCCUUAACCCACUGCACCAGGCCAGGGCUUGAACCCACGCCUCAGCAGCAUCCCAAGCUGCUGUAGGGACAAAGCCUUAUCCAUUACCCACUGCUCCAUAGCGAGAACUUCCACAGGGACCAAAUAGGAAUGGUGAAAUCAUUCCCCACUUAUAAAAAAGAAAUCUACUGAGCUCUGUCACGUGCAGGGCGCCGGGCUUGCUGCAGGGCUAGACCAGUGGGUGAUUCAAAAGGAGCCGUACCCCUCGGAACAUGCAGAGGGUCUGAUUUCCUCCUUGAGUCAAGUUAAUUCAGAGGGUUUACUCACACAGGGAUGGUGGCCAUGGUUCGGAGAAGGGGCACCCUAGGGGCAGUGAGGUGCCUGGGGGCUGUCAUCCCAGCCUCAAGUGGGGAAGGGAAGGGGUUUCCAGACCCCAUGUGCAUAAGGCAGCUUGAGAGGAGAUGACAUCACGGGGGGUGGGGCACACCCCGGACUAGGCCCCUCCCUCCUUCCCUUCCUCCCCCUCCCAGUGGCUGAGCCCAACCAGAAGUCAGAGGGCGAGGGGCCCUUUGAUGUAGCCCACCCUGGGCAGCCCUCAGGGCAGAGAGCAGAGGGGAGAGAAAGGUAGGCAGCAGCUACUGAGGCGCAAGCGAAACACUGACACAUGUGAAAGGUGCAGCCGCCGUGGGAGACAAAGCCAAAUGCAGAAACAGGUACCAGGAGACCCAGAAACUCCAUCCCCAGCUACAGACAAAUGGAACUGCAGGGAUCAAGUGCAUAUGCACACAGGGGCUCACGGCAGCACGUCCCGCAGCGGCACAGAAGGGCAGACCCACCUGUCCACCAGGAGGAAGGAUAAAGAGGCAGGGUCCAUCCCCACAGUGGAAUAUUAUUCAGCCACAAACAGGAAAAAAGCACAGACUCAUGCUACCAUGUGGGUCGACCUUGAAAACAUGACGUUAAGAAAAGAAGCCGGACCCAGAAGGACAAGCAUGGUAAGACGCCACAUACCUGAGCCAUCUAGAAUUCAUAGGGAUGAAAUUCCUAGAGAUAAAAAGUAGAUCGGAAGUUGCCAGGGGCCUGGGGGAGGGGGAGUUUGGGUCUGGGUGGCGAAAAGGCUUUGCAAAUAGAUAGCGGUGAUGUGCCGCUUUGUCAAUGUAAUUAAUGCCACGGAAUCAUACAUUACAAUGGGUGAAUGUUUUCGUGUGUGAAUUAUUUCACAAUAAAGCUGUUUUUUUAAAAUACACCUGACACUUUCCACCCCUCUGCCCCUCACAGCUCAUCUAGUCUAGUCCAUCCUCUGGCUGAAAACCCCGCAUCCCCAGCACAGAGGAUGCACGGCGUCCCACGAGCGGUCACAUCAUCAUGGGUGGUGAUGAUGACUGCAGGACACUCCCACCCGAAAUGAUAACCAGCUGCACCAGUGCUUUGCCCGAAGGGCGAGUGGAAAGGGGCAGGGGCACGGGAACAAUGUGGGACUCUCUUCCACCUCACAUUCCGUUGCCCCUUGACCUCGUGAACCAAAGCUGGGGGGGUGACCCCAAGGUUCCACUUGCCAGGGACCUGGGUCCUCCAAGGCCCUGCCUUUGUUCCCUUCCCUUACAAGGACUUUCUUAGGCAAAUAGUGCAGCCUGGGUUUGGUGUAUUUCUCCAACCUGUCAGGGUCUUUUAACUGGUAGAUUUAGUCUGUUUACAUUUAGUGUGAUGAUGAGUGUAUUUGAAAUCACUGUCGUCCGUGUUUGCGUUUUUAUUCAUCCUGACCUGAUCCUGUCUUGCUUUCGAUGGACUGAGAUUCCCUUCAAUUCUAGUUUUCCCCUCUGCUGGUCUUCCACUCUAUUUCUACACAUUUUUAGCAGUUAUCCUUAUGGAUUUGACCCGCUACCUUUCUCUGAAACAAGAAGAGGAACCUAAAAUACUCUCAUUCCUAUCAAGCCUUCCCAUCUUUCUUAUUAUUCUUGGCUGGAGUUUUAGCUCCAUCUUUUAAUCCCUCCAGUGAGAUUUGUUUUCUGCACUCACAGUGGACAAGGCUGGUAGUGGGCUGGGCCUCUUCCUUGUACCAUUUCUUCCAACAGCAGCACCAGUCUGGCUGUGAGCAUGUGUGUGUGUGUGUGUGUGUGUGUGUGUGUGUGUGUGUGUGUACAGGAGUGCCCUUCAGACAGUGGAGGCUGCUUGGCCUGCAGGGGAUGCAGGCUGUGCCUGACAGCUCUGCCUCCCUCCCUGACAUCCAAGCACAGCCUCAGUCUGUGUUGGGUAAACAUGGAAGAACCUCUAAACAAGGCCUUUGCAAACCAGUCCUUCGGGCACCCUCUCCCUUUGGAUUAUCCUCUCUCCUCCUGAACUGUAUUCCUUCUGAGCCCAUUUAGUGGGGAUCUGGGGGAUGCUCGAGCUCAGAUCUUGUGUGUCUGAAAUUGUCUUUAUCCAUCAUUAUCUAAAUGACAUUUCACAGGUACACAAUGGAGAGGCAGUCGUUGGAGAAGCACUUUGCAGCUAUUUUCUACUGGUCUUGGCAUCCUGUUGUUAUUUGAGUUUGUGGUUGGCCUGGUUAUCCUCUGAGGGAACAUCAGUCUCGUCUGUCUGUCUGGGUCCACAGGACCCUCUCUUAGCUUUUAGCUCCAGUGGUGUGGCCGGCGUGGCUUCCUUCUCCUGACCCAGCUCCCGGGAUCUGAGGAUGCAUGUCUGUCAUCACCGUGAGACCCUCCUCAGCUGUGCUCUUUUGGAUCAUGGCCCAUCUUCCACCUUCCCCACCCCCCUCCUGCCCCCAGGACGGUGAUCCCCACCCGUACCGAAGCAGCACUGGCCCACGUGACUUCCUUCCAAGACUGGGUCACCAAGGUCAGUGCAGCCUCCCCUUGCUCUCUGGGGAAGCGGCCACUAUGCCAUGUGCCCCUGUGAGGACACCCGAGCAGCCCAAGGGGAGGCCAGGGAGGCAGGAGGUGGGGCCCCACCACUUCUCCUGCCAGGUGAGAAGACCCUCAGAACGCAGAUGAGCGGAGGAGGCUGGCGACUGUGGGAAUUGGCUGCAAGGGGGCGGGGGCUUGAACACGCUCUGAAACAUGCUGCAGUGGUGGUUGCACAGCCCUGCGGACACACUAGGAGUCACCGACUCGACAACCGCGCAGGCGAGAUAUAUGACACUUGACAUGCACCCCAAGAAAUCUCCUCAAGAAACUAGACCCCGCUUCCACCGAGAGGGUAAGUUCCAAGUCCAGCCUCCACGCAUCUGAGCCCCGACUCACUUCCUGCUGGUCCUGAGGAUGCCGAAGGCCCUCGAUCCAGCCCUCCUGCCCGCCUCUCGCAGAAACAUCCGACUUUCUUUUCUCCCACAUUCACUGAUGCAUUUGAAGGGAUGUUCGUUGCAACAUAUCCAGAAUGUCUAAGUGCUGAGAAGCAGGGAGGGGAUUCAAUGUCACCUUGGUGAGAGAGCAGGCCCGCUCGCCACUAGGAAAGUUCUGGAAGCUCUGCAGCCACUUGACGUCCCCCUUCUCAGGGCAUCCCGCCCUCUUCCAGGCCUGGGACUCUUAGCGCAUGUUCCAGGGUGUCAUGAGUCAGACAUUUCACUCCAGGGUCUUGAUUCCUCCGCUGAUUUUCAGCCGCAGGACCCAGGGGCUCAUCCCCAUCAGCCUCGAGCGCCCUGUGCAGGCCUGACCCACCAUCGGGGCUCAGCGUUUAUCUUCCGAACGACUCUUGAAGGCAGUUUUCUCUCCUCCCUGGCUGCACAGGCCCUUUGGCGCAGAGCCCCGGCCCCACGCCUCCCCUUCCCCAUCGCCACCGCCCCUGGCGCGGACUUUGGUUUGGUUUUAACUAUCUUCAAACUUGUGGUAGAGUACAGAUAACAUAGAAUUUAGCAUUUUAACCACUUUAAAGGGUGCUCUUCAAGGGCCUUUAGUAAACUCACGCUCUUGCGCAACCAUCACCCCCUCUCGUUCCAGAAGAGCUGGCCCUGGGUUUUCAUCCAGUGUUCACGCCGUGGUACUUCGCUCUGCGGAUUGCCUGUGAGCGGCCUCCGAUCCUCAGGGGAGAGGCAGGAUUUCCGUGAAGAGCGACCUGAACAGAGAGUUUGGCUGUCCGGGCUCUUUCAAACUGGUGUCGCUCCUGAAAAGGCACGGCUGGUGAAGGUGAGCUGAGGGUUUCUGGGGGCAGCCCCCGUCCAGGCGUCCAGCUCUUUCUGAGUUUUGGCAACCGAGGACCUCUUUCCACGGCUCGCAGUGCCUGGGCUUGGGGGCCCUGACACCCCGGGAGCUGCCCAGACCGCGCCGUCUCCGUUUCCCUGGGUGACACGCAAAACUUUUGUCUUCUUGGCUCUGCGGAUGAGCUCUGUGUACUACAAACUGCCAAACACCAGGGGUGAGGGCCAGACCUGGCCUCCUGGAGGGGUGGGAGGGCCACUCAGGCCCCGAGCCCCCUGCCCACCCGCUGUGGGCCCCACCGUCGGAGGAGACCCCCCGGGGGGCCCGCAGCAAACACCCAAAGGGCAGCAGCCCUUCUCCCCAAGCCCAACGCCCGGGCCUCUGUCUCCUUUCUGUUGUUCUCCAUGCAAAAGCAUCUUUGCCAAACACUGAGUGGGAACAUAUGAGCAGCUCUGGCUGCCUCUCAAGCCCGGGAUUCGAACACAGCGAUUCCGUAUGCGGCUCAGGGCUGCCGGCUGGUCGGCGGGUCUCGGGCUGUGGAUCUAUGCAGUUUGGCCGUGACAGGACAAGAGGGCCCACCUCUGCCUCCUCCUGCAGCCCGUCUGAACCCUGGCCGGCUCCCUGGAGGGGGAGGCAGGGAGGGGAGGGAACAAGAGAGGCUGGCUCCCCUCACCUUUCCAGGCGACGUGCUGGUCCCCGCCGCACGCCAUCCGGUCAGGAGUGCCCUGAGGAACCCCAGCCCACUGCCCUGGACCUGGGCCAGCCCCCCUCUCAGCUGAAGGUCCGAAGGGCCAGAAGGAGCCGGGCAGGUUGGGAGACUCAGCGAAGGCGUGAGGCCACUCCGUGACCACCCAGCACAGUGUGGACCUGGCGGCCCUGAAGGCUCUGGGCUGUGCGGGGCCGGAGGCUCCAGCGGAGCCGAGACAGGCAGCACCCAGGCCCCGCCCUGCAGCAGGGCCAGAGGGGGCUCGGGGAGGUGUGAGCGGGUGUUCCUGGCGCGGCAGGGGACCUGGCACGUUGCCUUUGAAGGAAGUUGCCAACUUGAGCAAGGCCCCGAGUGUCCGCGAUGUGAUGCCGGUCCGAGAAGCGCUGGUCCCCAAGUCCUUCCCUUGCUCCUGGUCCAGCCUUUGCAGGUGAAAAUGACCCUCGGGGCUCCCGACCAGGAUGGCCCAUGGAGCGACUGGCUCGGUCUCCAGCACGUCCAGGAGUCAGUGUCCUGGGAAAACACGACGGGGCUGGGGCGUAGGCGCCAGUGAAACGGGUCAGAGGCGGAACCGAACGAGAGAUGGGAAACGGCAUCUUGCGUCCAAAACCCCUAAAGCCGUCAGGUGCGUCUCUGCACCACGGAGGCAGUGACAUAUACACAGAGGGCAGGUAAAGGGAGGGACCGUCCUGACAAGGCGGGCGGGGCAGCUGUCUACGACCUCCUGUCUCGUGGUUAUCAGGUCAGAAAGGAGCAGGAGGAACUGGAGGGGGGAGAGGAGGGGAGGGAGAGGGGGGAGGGGGAGGAGCCUCGAGGUCUAUCCCUCGGGGUCUGGACGGAAGGGCAGGCAGCCUGGGCGGCUGAGGACAUUGGCUAAAGGGACUGCUUGCUCCCACUUGCCUGACCGGGAAGGGGGGAGCUGGGAAGAAUGGCCCUUGGGGAGCUGUGACCCCAUCACUGGGGACAGGGGUGCUUGAGCGUCUGUGCCCCUGCCCACCCUCGAGGAGGAAGCCCGGAGGAGUCUGCCAGAGGAUCGCUCAGUCUGGGGGGUGGCCCCAUGCACCAGUCAGGGUCUAUUUUUUUUGUUUUUUCCAUUUUCGUUUGAAAUGUCUAGUGUUUGAAAACUUUCGUAAAAACUAAAAAGUGAGUGGUGAGGAGGAGGAGAGGGCGGACGCCAAUCCUGGUCGGAGAGGGCGCAGGAAAGCCGACCGCAGGCAGAGAAGGGAGCCCGCGGCUCGUCCCCCUCAACCCCGCACGCCCCCUCCCCGUCCGCCUCGGGGACCCUGCGGGCUGCAGGCCAGGGGGAGACGCUUCCCAGGAGGCAGAGCUGGUCUUGCCAGGACACCCAACAAUAAAUGGGUAAAAUAUGAGUAACAGGUUUCUGGGAGAAUAAACAACAUUUUGGGCAAAAGCGAACUCCAUGAGAUACGCGGGCAGUUAUCUAACGGGUUAGCACUCUUUUUAUUGUGACUCCAUGGGUGUGAAGCCUUUCGGAGGCUGGCCCAUGACGCGACCCUGCCAGGCCCUUAGACCGACUGCACCAGGCAGAGCUCAGGAAACUGGGCAAAUGCUCCCAUCUGCUGAGUCCAGGUCCCCAGAGGUCAGGGCCAGGCCUGCAGCCAACGCACAAACUCCAGGAGGACAGGCCAACGCAGGGCCCAGAGCAGCCACCUGGCCCUCCAGCUGGCCCAGGCCUCCGAGACGCCUGACCCCCAGGCCCACCCUGCCCCACGCCACCUGGCCCACAGCAGGGGCCACAGUUCAGGUUUGUGUCAUGGUUUUUAGCUCCAGGCGCAGUGACCUCACCAACACAGAGAGAGGACAGGGUCCCUGGUCCUGGGGGAGGGGGACCCCCCUCCCCCAGCCUGUAGGAAGGGAGGGGGGGGGCUGGAGAGCAGAAGGGACUCCCAUUACAGCCCCUGCCCCCCUGAUGAAAUCCGCAGGCAGAAAAGCUGUGAGCUCGCCCCAGGCUCAGACACAUCUGGGGGGGACCCCGGCGCCCUCUUCCUGGCUCUGUGUCCCCAACAGGUCGCCCAGCGUCUUGGAGCCUGUUUGCUGCUCUGUAGGUGGCUUACCCAGAGCACCCUCGACCCAGGCCCAUGGGAGGCGGCACGAGGGAAGGCCUUUACGGCAGCUCCCUCCCGCCACAGGUUGGGAGGCAAGUUCGUGUCCCGGAGCCUCUGGAACAGAUGCGCACAAACGGUGGGCUGAAAACCAGACAUUCCUUCUCUCCCAGGUGUGAGAGGCCAGAUGCCUGAGAUCCAGGUGUCGACAGGGCCCAGCUCCCUCUGGAGGCUCCCGGGGGGUGGUCUGCCCCUCCCAGCCGCUGGUGGCCCCGGCGUCCCUGGCUGGCGGCCGCAUCUCCAGCCUGAGCGCCGGGUCCACAUCGCGCUCUUCCUGGUGGCUCUGUGGGUCUCUCCAGAGCCCACCUACACCCAGGGGAUCUCACCUCGAGGUCCUUCACCGCCACAUCUGCAGAGACCCUCUUCCCAAAUCAGGGCACAUCCUAAGGCUCUGGGUGGGCACGAAUCUGGGGGGCAUCUAAUGAACCCAUGGCACUGGGAUACUCGGGUAGCUGGACCGUCUAUGAAUUUCAUUCCGGAUCAUGUAGGGACUGGUAAAGUGUUUGUUAAAAAAGCAGGGUUGGGUCCGAUGGGCUGAGAACUGUGCAUUAAAGCCGGAGCCCGGGGGCAGGGGGAGGUGGAAUCUGAGAAAUGGGUCCAAGAGGGUCCACACGCAUGGUCAGCCCAGAGCAGCCGCAGCAGCCACACAGGGGAAUGGUCUUGGGGCAGGAGGGGGCUGCCCAGAGGGCCGGGCCUUUGUCCUCCACUGACUGGCCUCCGCUGGACCUAGAGGUCCCCUCCCUGAGCCCACAGAGCCUGGAGUGCUCCAGGGAGCCUGGCCUGAGGGCUUCUGGACACAACGGCCUUGCGGUGGCUUUGUGCCCGCAGGGCCCAGGAUGGGAGGGGGCGCCACCCACUCAGGCACCCCCGCCCCUCUUAGGUGUUCCCACACUUGCUGGGGCUGAGAGGUUGUGCUUCCCACCCAGAAAGAAGGCCAGGGCUCAGGCUAAAGCCCAGGUCUUGGGAUCGAAGGUGGGGGUGCAGGGAGAAUGCUGAGGGGGGGACUCCGGGUGGGCAUUUACCUAAACAGGGAGGCAAGAAACACGGUGGCACUUUUAGCCCUUCUGGGGGAAAGAAGGCAGAAUUAUUUCUCUCUCUCUCUCUUUUUUCUUUUUAGGGCUGUA